GGAUGUGAGGGUGAUCUGGCUGCAACAUCUAUCACCCCAUUGAUCGCCAGGGUUGAUUUGGCUGAUCUGGCUGGCUAGGCAGGUGUCCCGUUCCUCCCUCACCGCUCCAUGUGCGUCCCUCCCAAAGCUGCAUGCUCGGUCGAAGAGGACGACCUUCCCUGCUAGAGGAGGACCAUUCUUCGGUCAAGGUUAUACAAGUAGCUGAGCUCCCCUGCUAGAACCUCUAAACAAGCUCUCAAGAAGACAUUGGAUGAGCACAAAGAAGAAUUUGAAAGCAUACAUAGAAAAAUAGCAGAUCUUAU
rnacentral:snRNA from 1 species